AUGUUGCAUGGAGACAGCGGGGAGGGAAAGCGCAUCUGGAGCUGGGAAACAGUUUUGUGCAGGAAACAACCGUGUGUAGUAAAUGACACCCUUCUAUGCCUCUUGCUUCUCAGCACAGUCUGACCUCUUUCACUAGAGCGGCCAGUUCUUUGCCUCCACUAAGAAGCUCCACAAAGUGCAAUUUCAUGCCAUGGAUUCUCAUUGUUCAUUAUUUGAUGGAUAAGACACAGUCAUAGGUGUUUUGUGAGCCAGUUUGAAGAAGGAACUGUAAACCCCUGACUAUCUACAUAUUUUGGUUUGUCUUAAAUACAAGAGCUUCUGAAGCAAGAGACAUGAGGUGGAUUUGUUGGAGGAAUGGACAACUGAGUAGACAAGAACUAAUACAUACUCAGGCUGUAUCACCAUAGGCAGCAGCAUUGUUCCAGUGAUGAACUUCUCUGAAGAAUUAAGAGUUCCAUUUGAGGCUCAUUCCCGUCAUUUUUUAUUCUGGUCACAGUAAAUGGCCUUGAGAUUUGGGGGGAAAAAAAAAUCUAAAAAUUCUGGACCAUUUUUUUACCCUGUGUAAAAUUCUUUUAAAAUUCUUUUCUUUCACGAGCUGAUUUAGUGCUUUAAUUGGUUGUUGAGUAAUGUAGAAAACAUAAAAUUUCAUUCUAUAUCUUAUACCUUACAACCUAUGCCUCUUUCAGUUCAAACAAGACAAACCAAAAUUAGCUGAGAACAAAGAGGAAGACUUUUUUCUUGUUAUCUUUUAAAAAUCUCUUGUGUUGGUAAGAAGGUAUCGUAAGUAUAGAUGAGCUACACACAAACCCACCUAAUUUAAACAGAGUGUUUUUAUAAGUUGAACAAAUAAUAACAAAAGGUAUUUCAAAUUAUGAGAUAAUUAAAUGUUCAGAUUUUGUCUUUACUCUUCCAUUCAGUUUUGCUUUAUUUUAGGAUUAACAAACUGCGAUGCCUAAAAUUACUCUUGAAGUACCGAAUCAGUAUUUGUGUACCUCCUACUGUGACAAUGCUCCGUGAGACAGUCUCAGUGUAUAUGUUCCUGUAUUGUUGUGUUUGGCAUGUUUGUUUCUAAGAAUUGAUAAUUACUAUUAACAGUUGAACAAACAAACUCUUCACCCAUUUAAUGAUAUGCAAGUAUUUAAUAUUCUAAAUAAUUAAGUGCUCCAUGUAUCAGUGGCUGAAAACAUUGGUAUAUUCAGUUCAUGCAGAAUUGUUUUACUUCAGAGUCUGAGGUAUGAAUAACCUUGUAUUUAGUUCAUCUAAUACCCUCUGCUGGACUCACUGGGUUUGCAGCCCACCUUCCUCAGCAGUGAUGCCAAAGACCACCACUGAAAUCACAAUUGAAUUUCUGUUAACAUUCAUGACCUUUUGUUGUGUAUUUGAUACAAUCCAUGCUUACACGAUUGUUAGUAACUUUAUAUAGGUGCUGUAUUAGUAAGGUUCAUGCUUCCUUCCACUAUCAUAAACUUACAUUUAUUUUUUAUAAAAAAGUAGGACAUUUUUACAGCACUUCUGUUUGCAUGAAGUCAACAGACGUUUGGAAUGGGCACAGAACGCAGGUUUGGGCUUUUGCUUUAGCAAACGUGAAUUACGCAGGUAUUUCCUGCAUAAGGAAUUACUCUUUUAGAAACACAGAGCUGUGUUUUGAGAGUUAGUGGGGUUUUCGUUACCAUGUUUUUUUGCUUUCUAAAUCAAAAAGGAUUUUUUUUUUUUUUCUUUUCUCACAGUUCAUUUAUUGCUCUGGGUUUUUACCCCCUGAAGUACAUCCCCACUAUUUUGAUUUCGAAUCUGCAAUCUUCCUAGGUUUAGAACGUCACUGAGCUCUUGCGAGGUGCCCUGGCCAGGGCAGCUUUGCAGAACUGGGCACUUUUAAGAGCUGAAGUAUUUUUAGUUGCAAAUAUUUAAAAAAUGCACUCUCAGCUGUUCACACAGCAGUGAUUGGACUGGUUAGAGUACUGAGAGUGGAGAAUGCUGAUACCUUCAUAUGUUUUAUGAGUGUACUGUAGCUGUGCUUCAGGCAGAAAUUCUUCAGAAGAAUGAGCAAAAGAAAAAACAGUGAGUGGAACUGCUUAAAUUAAAAAAAAAAAAA
ensembl:lncRNA